AUGUGGYAGAGGCUUGAAGGUCUCUCCUGCAGAUUCCUUAUCUGCUGCCCAUGUCACCUGUACAUUAAUAGCUACUAAAACCCCAUCUGCAGCUGAUAGAUCUUUAAAACUCUGAAGACAAAGCGGCAGCUCCAGAGGAUCGGCUGCUUUUCCUCUUAAA